rnacentral:rRNA from 1 species
UACGAAGGGGGCUAGCGUUGCUCGGAAUCACUGGGCGUAAAGCGCACGUAGGCGGUCUCUUAAGUCAGGGGUGAAAUCCUGGAGCUCAACUCCAGAACUGCCUUUGAUACUGAGGAUCUUGAGUUCGGGAGAGGUGAGUGGAACUGCGAGUGUAGAGGUGAAAUUCGUAGAUAUUCGCAAGAACACCAGUGGCGAAGGCGGCUCACUGGCCCGAUACUGACGCUGAGGCACGAAAGCGUGGGGAGCAAACAGG